rnacentral:rRNA from 1 species
AUUGAACGCUGGCGGCGUGCCUAACACAUGCAAGUCGAGCGGUAACAGGUGUAGCAAUACAUGCUGACGAGCGGCGGACGGGUGAGUAACGCUUGGGAAUCUGCCUGUUAGUGGGGGACAACCCGGGGAAACUCGGGCUAAUACCGCAUACGCACUACGGUGGAAAGCCGGGGACCGCAAGGCCUGGCGCUAACAGAUGAGCCCAAGUCGGAUUAGCUAGUUGGUAGGGAACGGCCUACCAAGGCGACGAUCCGUAACUGGUCUGAGAGGACGACCAGUCACACCGGAACUGAGACACGGUCCGGACUCCUACGGGAGGCAGCAGUGGGGAAUAUUGGACAAUGGGCGAAAGCCUGAUCCAGCGACGCCGCGUGGGUGAAGAAGGCCUGCGGGUUGUAAAGCCCUUUCAGUGGGGAAGAAAAGCCUCGAGCGAAUACCUCGGGUCUUGACGUAACCCAUAGAAGAAGCACCGGCUAACUCUGUGCCAGCAG